AGAAUCAACGCUGGCGGCGUGCCUAACACAUGCAAGUCGCACGAGAAAGGGACUUCGGUCCUGAGUAAAGUGGCGCACGGGUGAGUAACACGUGAAUCAUCUACCCUCGAGUGGGGAAUAACCUAGAGAAAUCUGGGCUAAUACCGCAUAAUACUUACGAGUCAAAGCAGCAAUGCGCUUGGGGGAGGAGUUCGCGGCCGAUUAGCUAGUUGGCGGGGUAAUGGCCCACCAAGGCGAUGAUCGGUAUCCGGCCUGAGAGGGCGCACGGACACACUGGAACUGAAACACGGUCCAGACUCCUACGGGAGGCAGCAGUGGGGAAUUUUGCGCAAUGGGGGAAACCCUGACGCAGCAACGCCGCGUGGAGGAUGAAGUAUCUUGGUACGUAAACUCCUUUCGAUGGGGAAGAUAAUGACGGUACCCAUAGAAGAAGCCCGGCUAACUUCGCGCCAGCAGCCGC
rnacentral:rRNA from 1 species